AAGUCACUCAGUCAUGUCCGACUCCUAGCGACCCCAUGGACUGCAGCCUACCAGGCUCCUCCAUCCAUGGAAUUUUCCAGGCAAGAGUCCUGGAAUGGGGUGCCAUUGCCUUCUCCAGGAAAAAAGCGAGCAUUUCUGAUGCCCCAUCUUCUUUCAACCCAGUGAGACCAAGGUUGGACCUCUGACCUACGGAAUUAUUCACCUGCAGUUGCAAGAAACAAUGCCAAGAACACAUGUAUUAUUUCCCUCAAUGAGAAUGUUUUUCAAAAUUGGACUGUGAUAUCCCAACCAGGAUAUUGGAAUUCAUAUAAUUAGAAUACAAGAUACUUUCAUCACUCCAAGGACUCCUCAUGUUCUUCUUGUCUAGCCACACCAGGCAAGGGCUGAGCUGUUCUAUCUCUACAAUUUUGUCAAUUCAACAGAUAUUGCCAGUCCAGGUUCGAUGCACGAUACUGGAUGCUUGGGGCUAGUGCACUGGGACGACCUAGAAGGAUGGUAUGGGGAGGGAGGAGGGAGGAGGGUUCAGGAUGGGGAACACA